AUUGAACGCUGGCGGCAUGCCUUACACAUGCAAGCCGAACGGCAGCACGGGGGCAACCCUGGUGGCGAGUGGCGAACGGGUGAGUAAUGCAUCGGAACGUGCCCAGUAGUGGGGGAUAACCAGUCGAAAGACUGGCUAAUACCGCAUACGACCCAAGGGUGAAAGCGGGGGACCGUAAGCCCACGCGCUAUUGGAGAGCCGCGUGUCUGAUUAGCUAGGUGGCGGGGUAAGAGCCCACCAAGGCGACGAUCAGUAGCUGGUCUGAGAGGACGACCAGCCACACUGGGACUGAUACACGGCCCAGAUUCCUACGUGAGGCAGCAGUGGGGAAUUUUGGACAAUGGGCGCAAUCCUGAUCCAGCCAUGCCGCGUGCGGGAAGAAGGCCUUCGGGUUGUAAACCGCUUUUGGCAGGAACGAAACGGCGCAGGCCAAUACCUUGCGCUAAUGACGGUACCUGCAGAAUAAGCACCGGCUAACUACGUGCCAGCCGCCGCCGUAACAC
rnacentral:rRNA from 1 species